AGAUCAGUCACAAUGAGAGGAAGUCUGUGUUGUUGAGCCAUAGGUAACUUCCACCUGUGCCGCCAUGAUUAGUUUACAUGGUCCCAUGGUCCCAGGGGGCUGGGAAGAGGCUGACUGCCACCAAAGGACUCUCCACUUCCACACUGGCCAAGUAGCCACCCCCACAAACCAGUGAACCAUGCUCAGAUUUCCUGCUCAUUCAUUCCUCUCAUUGGAAGCCAAGAGAGCCUGGCUGAUGCAGUCCACAGGGAUCAGUUUUCUAGAACAUAAAGGAGCACAAGGAGGAGAAAGAAUCUAGAAGGGCAAAAGGAGACUCUCCAGCCCACCACACAUGCUUGAGUCUGCAUCUGGGUCUCUAUUCUGUACCAUUGUUCUGACACUGGAAUCCUCAAGAGUAGUUAUCUCUAUGCAAGUCUACUCUAGUGGAGUUUAAACCGCAGAGAUCUUUCCAGUCUUAGAACUUUACAAGGGGAGUAUACAAAUCACUAUAUUAUCAAGUCAAACACCUUACUAAUCAAGAUGUAGUGAAGUAACUCUGCUAAUGACCAGUCAGCCUGUAUCUUACUCACUUAACAAACGUGUUAAAUAGAUGUAACACCCUGCAUGAUGAUGCGUGGUUAGGGAUAGAUCCAAGGGUAGGUAGAAACCACUUCUGCCCUCAUGGAGUCUGAAGGGUUAGGGUGGGGCAGGGAAGAGCAGUGUAUAAAUGAAAUCUAGCACCAACACUCUGAUCUCCCUUAUAUGGACUUAAAACAACAAAACAGCAAACAAAGCAUGUUACUCUUGACAAACUAUGACUUUAGGCUAGGAGCCAGGGCCAAGUGGAAUACAGAAGGAACUUAAUUCAGGUCUAAUGACCUCCUUUCUGAAUACUGGCUGAGUACUAUUUACUAUUUAUUAGUGUAAUUGGGAAGCUGAAAAUCUUGUAAAGAAAAAUAAUUUCACAAAAAUCAGAAUAUGGACUAUAUAUGCAGUUAUUCUCUACAAAUGUACUUCAUUUUAAAAACAGUCAUCAGAUGAUCCAAGAUAGCUAACAAUACUGAUUUUUUCCUAAUGAAACAUCCUAAUCUUUAAAUUUUUUAAAUGUUUUUUUAAUUUUGAGAGAGGGAGAG